rnacentral:lncRNA from 1 species
UUUAGACUUUGACCUUAGUUUUGAUCUCUUAAGCUUUGGGAGCACCACAUGAGGCCUAACAAUCUUCACCUUGGUGCCCCAAGGCCUCAGCGAACUCCAUCCUGUCCAUCAAGCAUAUCAAUGUCACAUAUCUUCGAAAGCUGUUUCAUGAAAGAACCUUCAUCAGUGCAUCCGCUGGAUUCUCCUUGGUGUGGACCUUCACCAGCUCCACCUUGCCUUCUUCCACAAGCUCUCUGAUUU